UCAAGUGAAUAAGUGCAUCAGGUGGAUGCCUUGGCGAUGAUAGGCGACGAAGGACGUGUAAGCCUGCGAAAAGCAUCGGAGAGCUGGCAAUAAAGCAAUGACCCGGUGAUGUCCGAAUGGGGAAACCCACUUAGUUAACUAAGUAUCCUUGUCUGAAUACAUAGGACAAGAGAAGCGAACCUGGAGAACUGAACCAUCUAAGUACCCAGAGGAAAAGAAAUCAACCGAGAUUCCGCAAGUAGUGGCGAGCGAACGCGGAGUAGCCUGUAUAUGAUAAUUAUUGAGAUAGAAGAAAGAAUUGGAAACUUCUGCCAUAGUGGGUGAUAGCCCCGUAUCCGAAAUUCCGGCAGUGGUACUAAGCAUACGACAAGUAGGGCGGGACACGAGAAAUCCUGUCUGAAGAUGGGGGGACCAUCCUCCAAGGCUAAAUACUCAUCAUCGACCGAUAGUGAACCAGUACCGUGAGGGAAAGGCGAAAAGAACCCCGGGAGGGGAAGCACCCUUGUGGUGUGACUGCGUACCUUUUGUAUAAUGGGUCAACGACUUACAUUCAGUAGCGAGCUUAACCGAAUAGGGGAGGCGUAGGGAAACCGAGUCUUAAUAGGGCGAACAGUUGCUGGGUGUAGACCCGAAACCGAGUGAUCUAUCCAUGGCCAGGUUGAAGGUGCCGUAACAGGUACUGGAGGACCGAACCCACGCAUGUUGCAAAAUGCGGGGAUGAGCUGUGGAUAGGGGUGAAAGGCUAAACAAACUCGGAGAUAGCUGGUUCUCCCCGAAAACUAUUUAGGUAGUGCCUCGAGCAAGACACUGAUGGGGGUAAAGCACUGUUAUGGCUAGGGGGUUAUUGCAACUUACCAACCCAUGGCAAACUAAGAAUACCAUCAAGUGGUUCCUCGGGAGACAGACAGCGGGUGCUAACGUCCGUUGUCAAGAGGGAAACAACCCAGACCGCCAGCUAAGGUCCCAAAUGAUAGAUUAAGUGGUAAACGAAGUGGGAAGGCCCAGACAGCCAGGAUGUUGGCUUAGAAGCAGCCAUCAUUUAAAGAAAGCGUAAUAGCUCACUGGUCGAGUCGUCCUGCGCGGAAGAUGUAACGGGGCUCAAAUCUAUAACCGAAGCUGCGGAUGCCAGUUUACUGGCAUGGUAGGGGAGCGUUCUGUAGGCCGAUGAAGGUGCAUUGUAAAGUGUGCUGGAGGUAUCAGAAGUGCGAAUGUUGACAUGAGUAGCGAUAAAGCGGGUGAAAAGCCCGCUCGCCGAAAGCCCAAGGUUUCCUACGCAACGUUCAUCGGCGUAGGGUGAGUCGGCCCCUAAGGCGAGGCAGAAAUGCGUAGUCGAUGGGAAACAGGUUAAUAUUCCUGUACUUGAUUCAAAUGCGAUGUGGGGACGGAGAAGGUUAGGUUAGCAAGCUGUUGGAAUAGCUUGUUUAAGCCGGUAGGUGGAAGACUUAGGCAAAUCCGGGUCUUCUUAACACCGAGAAGUGACGACGAGUGUCUACGGACAUGAAGUAACCGAUACCACGCUUCCAGGAAAAGCCACUAAGCUUCAGUUUGAAUCGAACCGUACCGCAAACCGACACAGGUGGGCAGGAUGAGAAUUCUAAGGCGCUUGAGAGAACUCGGGAGAAGGAACUCGGCAAAUUGAUACCGUAACUUCGGGAGAAGGUAUGCCCUCUAAGGUUAAGGACUUGCUCCGUAAGCCCUGGAGGGUCGCAGAGAAUCAAGCAUCGGAUCGAAGCCCCAGUAAACGGCGGCCGUAACUAUAACGGUCCUAAGGUAGCGAAAUUCCUUGUCGGGUAAGUUCCGACCCGCACGAAUGGCGUAACGAUGGCCACACUGUCUCCUCCCGAGACUCAGCGAAGUUGAAGUGGUUGUGAAGAUGCAAUCUACCCGCUGCUAGACGGAAAGACCCCGUGAACCUUUACUGUAGCUUUGCAUUGGACUUUGAAGUCACUUGUGUAGGAUAGGUGGGAGGCUUUGAAGCAGAGACGCCAGUCUCUGUGGAGCCGUCCUUGAAAUACCACCCUGGUGUCUUUGAGGUUCUAACCCAGACCCGUAAUCCGGGUCGGGGACCGUGCAUGGUAGGCAGUUUGACUGGGGCGGUCUCCUCCCAAAGAGUAACGGAGGAGUUCGAAGGUUACCUAGGUCCGGUCGGAAAUCGGACUGAUAGUGCAAUGGCAAAAGGUAGCUUAACUGCGAGACCGACAAGUCGAGCAGGUGCGAAAGCAGGACAUAGUGAUCCGGUGGUUCUGUAUGGAAGGGCCAUCGCUCAACGGAUAAAAGGUACUCCGGGGAUAACAGGCUGAUUCCGCCCAAGAGUUCAUAUCGACGGCGGAGUUUGGCACCUCGAUGUCGGCUCAUCACAUCCUGGGGCUGUAGUCGGUCCCAAGGGUAUGGCUGUUCGCCAUUUAAAGUGGUACGUGAGCUGGGUUUAAAACGUCGUGAGACAGUUUGGUCCCUAUCUGCAGUGGGCGUUGGAAGUUUGACGGGGGCUGCUCCUAGUACGAGAGGACCGGAGUGGACGAACCUCUGGUGUACCGGUUGUAACGCCAGUUGCAUAGCCGGGUAGCUAAGUUCGGAAGAGAUAAGCGCUGAAAGCAUCUAAGCGCGAAACUCGCCUGAAGAUGAGACUUCCCUUGUGGUUUAACCACACUAAAGAGUCGUUCGAGACCAGGACGUUGAUAGGUGGGGUGUGGAAGCGCGGUAACGCGUGAAGCUAACCCAUACUAAUUGCUCGUGAGGCUUGACUCU
rnacentral:rRNA from 1 species